AUGUUCUAACGUGGACCCGUGAUCCGGGUUGCGGACAGUGUCUGGUGGGUAGUUUGACUGGGGCGGUCUCCUCCUAAAGAGUAACGGAGGAGCACGAAGGUUGGCUAAUCCUGGUCGGACAUCAGGAGGUUAGUGCAAUGGCAUAAGCCAGCUUGACUGCGAGCGUGACGGCGCGAGCAGGUGCGAAAGCAGGUCAUAGUGAUCCGGUGGUUCUGAAUGGAAGGGCCAUCGCUCAACGGAUAAAAGGUACUCCGGGGAUAACAGGCUGAUACCGCCCAAGAGUUCAUAUCGACGGCGGUGUUUGGCACCUCGAUGUCGGCUCAUCACAUCCUGGGGCUGAAGUAGGUCCCAAGGGUAUGGCUGUUCGCCAUUUAAAGUGGUACGCGAGCUGGGUUUAGAACGUCGUGAGACAGUUCGGUCCCUAUCUGCCGUGGGCGCUGGAGAACUGAGGGGGGCUGCUCCUAGUACGAGAGGACCGGAGUGGACGCAUCACUGGUGUUCGGGUUGUCAUGCCAAUGGCACUGCCCGGUAGCUAAAUGCGGAAGAGAUAAGUGCUGAAAGCAUCUAAGCACGAAACUUGCCCCGAGAUGAGUUCUCCCUGAGACUUAAAGUCUCCUGAAGGAA
rnacentral:rRNA from 1 species